AUUCCAGCUCCAAUAGCGUAUAUUAAAGUUGUUGCAGUUAAAAAGCUCGUAGUUGGAUUUCUGGGAGGGUGCCAAUGUCCGUCAACGUGCGUGUGCAGCGGCGCCCUUCCAUCCUUCUGUUAACGCCUCUGGGCAUUUAUUUGCUGGUGGCGGGCUCAGAUAUUUUACCUUGAGAAAAUUAGAGUGUUUCAGGCAGGCUAGGCCGGAAUACAUUAGCAUGGAAUAAUAGAAUAGGACUAUGGUCUCUUUGUUGGUUUGAGGGACUAUGGUAAUGAUUAAUAGGGAUAGUUGGGGGCAUUAGUAUUUAAUUGUCAGAGGUGGAAUUCUCAGAUUUGUUAAAGACUAACUUAUGCGAAAGCAUUUGCCAAGGAUGUUUUCAUCA
rnacentral:rRNA from 1 species